AAGUCGUAACAAGGUUUCCGUAGGUGAACCUGCGGAAGGAUCAUUCAUAAUAAGUGUUUUACUGCACUUUUUAAAAAUCAGUAUUCACCUUGUGUGCAAUGUUUGCUGACGAGUUCGCGUUUUUGCGCGUUCUUGGCAGUAUAAUACCAACCCUUUAUUGAAAUUUUUUGUCUGAAAUUUUUUGAAUACAUAAUUCGAAAUACAACUUUUAACAACGGAUCUCUUGGCUCUCGCAUCGAUGAAGAACGCAGCGAAAUGCGAUACGUAAUGUGAAUUGCAGAAUUCAGUGAAUCAUCGAAUCUUUGAACGCACAUUGCACUCUCUGGUAUUCCGGAGAGUAUGCUUGUUUGAGUAUCUGUAAACAUCUCAAAUCUCUACUUUAUUGUAAAGAAUUGGACUUGAGCAAUCCCAACUCCUUCGUCAGAAAGAGAAGGGUUGCUUGAAAUGCAGGUGCAGCUGGACAUUCUUCUGAGCUAAAAGCAUAUUUAUUUAGUCCCGUCAAACGGAUUAUUAUUCUUGCUUCAGCUUAUAUAAAGGUUGAAUGACUACCAAGGCUGAUUGNAGGUAAACUCGUUCCGUAAAAAAGAACUUGUAAACUCGAUCUCNAAUCAAGUAAGACUACCCGCUGAACUUAAGCAUAUCAAUAAGCGGAGGAAAANAAACUAACAAGGAUUCCCCUAGUAACGGCGAGUGAAGCGGGAUGAGCUCAAUUUAAAAUCUGGCUGGUUUACUAGUCCGAGUUGUAGUUUAAAGAAGCGUUUUCGGUGGCAGUCUCGGUAUAANUCCUUUGGAAUAGGGUAUCAUAGAGGGUGAGAAUCCCGUCUUNGACUGAGAAUAUGCUACUAUGUGAUACGUUUUCAAAGAGUCGAGUUGUUUGGGAAUGCAGCUCAAAAUGGGUGGUAAAUUUCAUCUAAGGCUAAAUAUUGGCGAGAGACCGAUAGCGAACAAGUACCGUGAGGGAAAGAUGAAAAGAACUUUGAAAAGAGAGUUAAACAGUGCGUGAAAUUGUUAAAAGGGAAACGCUUGAAACCAGUCAUGCGGUUGGGAAAUCAGUCUCUGACAAGGGGGAAUGGGAGAGGUGUGGACCGCAAGGCCGCUCUUUUUCAUAUCUUUCGUGGCAGGGAUGCACUUUUUCUUCUGCAGGUCAACAUCAGUUUGCUUUGCCGGACAAAACUCUUGGAAAGGUGAUAGCUUAGGCUAUGUUAUAGUCCAAGAGCGAUACGGUGGAGCGGACUGAGGCUUUCGCAGCAUGUGCUCUCGGGCAAGGCUGAUUGGGUGCUAUGGGAUCGUUCAGAGUACAAUACAUGUAUUUUGCUUUGUGUCUUUUCUAUACUCGCUCAACUCGGCUCUUCCAUGCUUAGGAUGUUGACAUAAUGGUUCUAAUCGACC
rnacentral:rRNA from 1 species